rnacentral:rRNA from 1 species
AACGUAGGUCACAAGCGUUGUCCGGAAUUACUGGGUGUAAAGGGAGCGCAGGCGGGAGAACAAGUUGGAAGUGAAAUCCAUGGGCUCAACCCAUGAACUGCUUUCAAAACUGUUUUUCUUGAGUAGUGUAGAGGUAGGCGGAAUUCCCGGUGUAGCGGUGGAAUGCGUAGAUAUCGGGAGGAACACCAGUGGCGAAGGCGGCCUACUGGGCACCAACUGACGCUGAGGCUCGAAAGUGUGGGUAGCAAACAGG